GAUAGCUAUUGCUAUUAAUCGGCGUCUUGUUUAUAGAAUGUAUAAAAGAAUACCAUGGAGUUUAUAAGUAAUGUUGAAGAUGUUAAAAGGACCAUUAUUGAAAACACCGAGUUAUAAAGUCGUUGGAAAACUGUUGCGAUGACAGUUUCCACAGCCAAAUACAAAAAAUGAUCAGUGAAACAUUGAAGGAGCGCUUGGAGCUAGGCGAACGUCUAAUUGCCAUGAAGGCCAAGCAGAAACGCAUCGAUGCUGUAUUACAACAAGGAUUGGCUGAAACCGAUAUAGUGGAAGACUUAAACAAGCAGUGCUUACAAUCAUUUGAAAA